UGGGUCGGAUCACGAUUGUCUAUAUGUGCUAUCGUGGAAGGAACCUGAUUAAAAUGACUUAAGCUGGGUGGAGUUUUGCAAGGUUGUAGUAACUCUGUCUGUGUAGCUAAGGACCGAUCGUUGUACGUCCUCUUGUCAUGUUGAACGCAUGCCUAACACUUAGUUGGUCGGAUACCUCGUUCCGACCGCGAAGCCUAGUAGUAUGACUU
rnacentral:lncRNA from 1 species